GCGAGCCCAACCUCCACGAAAAGAAAAUGGCGGAAUGGGCCUUCGCCUCCCUUUUAUCAUGGCUGUAUGCAACCGCUGUACUUGUAAGCUUGGUUCUGAUUGGGUGAGAAGGAACUUUUUUUGACAACUUUUAUUGGAUAAUAGUCUCCAUCUCUGACUGGAUAAUCUUCACUAAUCGGAGUUGGAGACUUAUCCAAUCUGUGUUGUAGUACAGAGUCUGCUCUCAUCCUAUCAGAAAGAGGCUUCCAGGAUAUGUCGUUUGAAUACAGACAUUAUAAAAGGGAGGCAAAGAUCUGCACCUGCCGUGGAGGUUGGGCUCAUGUGCUCCUCUGCACUGGAGUUAGCCAAGGAGCGUGUGCAGAACACUUGCCUCGUAGGCCAGCCGUACAGAAGGAUGUCCCAGGUGCAGGCGAAGUUUUGUUCACGUGUUCCUGGAGGAUUUUUCCCGUGGCAAGCGCUUCUCCAUCCUCCAGCAUCUCAGGCCUGUGCACCAGCCUUCCUGUGCCCAUUGAUGGACUGAGAGGAAGAUGAGCCCUUAGGAUGCCUGUCAUGCUCACUGUUAAGAAACAACAGGUGACCCCACUGGACUGACCACCCAAUGAGGCCUUUGAACCUCAGGCCAGGGAGAGGCAGGUCUACAGGUGACAACUGUGAACAGCCCCAGCUGGGGACAACCAGAAAUCCCCAAGGCGAUGAGUGGCUGAAAGUGAUGGAGCCCCCAGGCAGAGCCGAAACCCCACUGCAGGUGAGACUCGGCCCUUGGCUGAGUGUGUGCAGCCGCAUCCUCAGGUGUUACUCAACACUCCUCUGAAGCUCUCUCGGGGUCUUGGCCUGAUGAGUUUCCAGGGUGGUCAGGAUGGGAACUGUGGAAUCUCUAGGGCCCGGAUGCUCUGGUCCAGGGGUGUGGAGGGCUCUGUGCCAUGGGGGAGGUGAGAUAUCCCCCCAACUCCCUGCCCAUGGAGUUCUGCACUGGGGGAAGGAUGGGGGCCACGCAAGGACCCCUCACAGCAGCACACCCAGGUGAC